rnacentral:rRNA from 1 species
AUUGAACGCUGGCGGCAUGCCUAACACAUGCAAGUCGAACGAGUGGCGGACGGGUGAGUAAUUUCUGGGAAACUGCCUGACGGAGGGGGAUAACUACUGGAAACGGUAGCUAAUACCGCAUACCAUCAGAUGUGCCCAGAUGGGAUUAGCUAGUUGGUGGGGUAACGGCUCACCAAGGCGACGAUCCCUAGCUGGUCUGAGAGGCUGACCAGCCACACGGGGACUGAGACACGGCCCAGACGCCUACGGGAGGCAGCAGUAGGGAAUAUUGCACAAUGGGCGAAAGCCUGAUGGAGCCAUGCCGCGUGUGUGAAGAAGGCCUUCGGGUUGUAAAGUACUUUCAGCGGGGAGGCGUUACCCGAAGAGGAAGCACCGGCUAACUCCGUGCCAGCCGCCGCGGUAAUAC